rnacentral:rRNA from 1 species
UGGAAGGUAAAAAGCGUAACAAGGUCUCCGUUGGUGAACCAGCGG